AUUGGUCAAUCGCCUCACGGCAGAACCAGCAACUUGGAGGAAUGUAUAGCGAAAGCUAGUUGUAUUAAAUAAAAUUUAUUUAAUGCAGCAUCGACUAUGUCGAAUAAAGUUCUAGGUAGAGUUAUGAUAAUGACAUUUUCUAUCUAUGUGUCUUGACCAAAUCACGUGCCAGCAGUCGCGGUAAUACGUGGAAGACUAGUGUUAUUCAUCUUUAAUAGGUUUAAAGGGUACUUAGACGGUGAAUUAAGCCCAAUAAAGGGUACUUAUUAUACUAGAGUUUUAUGCGAGGGGGGGAGUACUAGUGGAGUAGAGAUGAAAUUCUGUCAUACCAUUAUGAACAGGCAACGGCGAAAGCAACCCUUUAUGUAAAAACUGACGUUGAAGGACGAAGGCUCAGUACACCAACAGGAUUAGAUACCCUAGCAGUCUGAGCAGACAAUGAUGAAUGCCAUAGAUAAGAAAUAGUUUUAUCUCAAGAAAGAUUAAAGAUAAUUUUCUCUAUAAAUGAAAGUGUAAGCAUUCCACCUCAAGAGUAAUGUGGCAACGCAGAAACUGAAAUCAUUAGACCGUUUCUGAAACCAGUAGUGAAGUAUGUUGUUUAAUUUGACAGCCCGCACAAAACCUUACCACAAUUUGUAUAUUUUUAUUUAAAUACAAGAGUUGCACGGCUGUCUUCAGUUAAUGUCGUGAGACUUUGGUUAGUUCCAUUAAAUUAACGUAAACCCUUACUUUAUUUCUUUUAUAAAGUAGUUCACCACUAGAUUGGAUAUGAUAAAA
rnacentral:rRNA from 1 species